ensembl:lncRNA
AUGGGGGAGUGUAUGUUGGACCGUUAUGGUGAAGAUUGUUUUCAAAGUUGUGAAGAGUUUGACGAUUGGUCCACGUUCAGUUCUGCGGACUGGACAGAACCCCAGCAAUAUGUCAAUGGGUUUUCAGACUGGGGUGCAUUCCAGGACAAAACCAGAAAAGAGGAAUCAUCAACCCCACCUGUGGCAGAAGCAGGAACUUUUGAGUUUCCUGAAAAUACCGAAAAUGGCGAUAAGGGAAAUCCCUGGUUUAUUUUUAAUGACUGCUUUCAAGUUGAAGAGGAAGAGAAAGAUCCUGUCAUGAUGGAAAUCCCUACAUUGUCUCUGCUACAGCAGAGCACAUUAGACAAGUCGUCUCAGUCUGCAGCGAUAUCAAGUGAAGCUGCAAAUUUCUGGUGUCAUCUACAGUCUGGGUCCAAAAUUCUCAGACUGUCAGGUCCCAAACCCAAACUACACUCCCAUGAAGGACUGCUCAAAACCCUCCAGCUCAGACAUCCUGAUGCAAGCGCUGACUUGCAGACCACUACUCUUUUAGAUCUUGAACCAGAAGAUCUGGAAGAUCAUCCUGGAGCACUUAUUCAAACCAAGGUUUGUGUAUGUGUGUUCUCAAACUGUGGUCCAUGUAGGAUUCCAUGUUUGACUAUAUAG